UUAUGAUGCAGCGCAGACAGUUACACACGCAGGCAUGUCACAUCAAAAGUCAGGGCAUCAAAAACGGAAAGAAAAGAAGGAAAGAGAAGACAGAGAACGCCAAAGUCCACAGUAUGUCACACAGUUUUUCAAAAAGAAAUACACAGGUUCAGCGGCUGCUGCACACCCUCGUCCUCCUUCCCCCACGUUCCCCGUCUCAGCCGAACAAGGGGGCCCAGAAAUUUUGGUUUCCAUAGCGCCCAGAAUUUCUGGCGGAACCCCUGCCUGCAGAAUUAACCAUAUUACAUCAACUCAGAUUUCUUCAGGCUGUGUGUCUGGUGUAAUGACUUGCCACUGCAGCACACAGAUAUGUAUGGGGGUGAUCAGUGUUUUAUAUUGGACAGUUGCUUAGUGCCAGAAACCACAGGACACCUUCAGGGGUUUUGUAGAGCAUUUGAUACACAUGGUGUGAGGGCUGAAACAACUAAUGAACCAUAUCAACAUUUAUCUUUCUUGAUUUGUUUACAAUUAACCAUUAUAUAACCUUAUGAAUCCAUCUUACAUGAAUAUCACUCUCCUUCAUAGUUGCUGGUAAAAUGUGAUAUAUUUGGUAAUCACCCAAAAAAUGUUUGUCAUUGGUCAGAGUUGUUUUGGAGACACAAACAAAUUAUUGAUUUUAUAAAUGAAAUAUAUCCCUUAAAAGUAACAAGCUUUAUGUUGCCAUAAUUAAAAGACACAAUGGAAACAUUGCAUGUAUUCUUUUUUAAUUCAGGCAGUUUAUAUCAAGAAAACAAACAUUUUGUCAAAGCACCUGAUGAGGCAGCAAAAAGUAAUGAGGUUCUUUGAGUAGUUUAAUGUAAAAUGAUCAAGUUUUCUGCUGCAUAUCUAUGUGUGUUAAAGGGAUAGUUCACUCAAAAAGUAUUUCCUCAUUCACUCACUGUUUUGUUCAGCUUCUCAGCACCAGGGCAGUCUGAUAAUGCAGAAUGAAAAUGCAUUCUGGAUAACCUAAA